rnacentral:rRNA from 1 species
GAUGAACGCUAGCUACAGGCUUAACACAUGCAAGUCGAGGGGAAACGACAUCGAAAGCUUGCUUUUGAUGGGCGUCGACCGGCGCACGGGUGAGUAACGCGUAUCCAACCUGCCCAUCACUUGGGAAUAACCUUGCGAAAGUAAGACUAAUACCCAAUGAUAUCCCACGAAGGCAUCGGAAUGGGAUUAAAGAUUUAUCGGUGAUGGAUGGGGAUGCGUCUGAUUAGCUUGUUGGCGGGGUAACGGCCCACCAAGGCAACGAUCAGUAGGGGUUCUGAGAGGAAGGUCCCCCACAUUGGAACGGAGACACGGUCCAAACUCCUACGGGAGGCAGCAGUGAGGAAUAUUGGUCAAUGGGCGAGAGCCUGAACCAGCCAAGUAGCGUGCAGGAAGACGGCCCUAUGGGUUGUAAACUGCUUUUAUAAGGGAAUAAAGUGGGUCACGUGUGACUUUUUGCAUGUACCUUAUGAAUAAGGACCGGCUAAUUCCGUG